CAAUAGGAGGCUCCUGUUCAUCUGAAACCUAGAACCUAUAAUAAAAACAGUGAACAAUUCAAAACUGGCACAUUACUCCUACUGGCUGUUCAUGUGCCAAGAUUUUCCACCAUGCCAGAGUUGCAAACUGUGUACAGUCUCUGGAAACAACUAAGCUCUUCUUAUUUGUGAGGUAGCAUUGUGAGUAGUGAGGGAUUUAUUACAUAGGAAAUUUUAUUUUCUUUGUCUUAAGAAAAUGACUGUAAUAUGUGUCCCAAUGGUUAUUUGGGAAACUCACUUAUUGCAAGUUUAUUAAAUGGCUGAAGCACAUGAUUUCAGAGAAAGUAGGACUUCGGCAGCUAACAGCCUGAGGCACAGAAAUGGAAAAGGUUUCUGGAAUGAAUGAUACCCAUUUUCCUGUGAUCUUUACAGAAAAGAAGAUGGCCAAAUCUGUAACUAAAUUUUGAAAAUCAGGAAAUGGGACAUUACUACUGGUCUUGGCCUUGAGAACAUCUGGGAGGGAUCAAAGAUUCUGCACUAAGAGAAAGAUCAGCAUUUUGCUCACAUUAGGGGGUAAACCGUAGAUUUUUGAUCCUCUAAUAAAAGUGACAAAUCUGUUCAUUGUUUGCAUGUUGCCUUUUCUUGUAACUUUGAUAUUCAUAAAUUUAGAACCAGAUAUUUUGCUUUUACAAAUUGUACAGUGGGUUAAAAAGGGACACAACCAAUUUGUGUUCAAUUGUUAUUUGUAAUGCACAACUUGUUUUACUUUUGGCAAAUAAAAGUACUUUACGGCAA